GAUGAGGAUGAACACCACGCAGUGGUGGGAUGCACCAAGAGUAGGGCACUCAGGCACAAAAUGAGGGAGGAGUGGGAUAUCCCAUCGGAAAAGCAUUUCCAGAAUACUGGCGAAGAUUGGCUACAGAUCCUACUGAGCUCCGUUCCAAAAGAUGUUCGCGUAAAAAUCUUGUUGCUGCUAUGGAGAUGCUGGCACCUCCGUGAAAAUUGCAUACAUGGGGAUGGAAAGGAGCCGGUUUUAGUAUCCGCCGCCUAUCUGUCGAAGAUGCAUGACGAAUGGAAGAACGUGGGUGUAGCCGGACAGGUGCUGGCCGGAAAGGACUCUGGGUUUCAGACAAAAUCAUGCCCAAGUACCCAUACAACUCAAAGAUAUCAGUGGACUACACCACCGAGAGGCAUAGCAAAACUGAACACCGAUGCCUCUUUUCUCCCAAACACCAAUCAGUGUUGGGGAGGCGCCGUCGCUCGAGAUCACAAAGGACAUGUCUACCUGUCGGUUGGAAGAGAGUUGGGCGAAGCUAAUGACGCUCUGUAG
rnacentral:rRNA from 1 species